UGUGUGUGUGUGUGUGUGAGUGUGUGAGCUCGCUGCGCUGCGCUGCUCCGCCCCGGAUCCUUCCUUGCCUUACACCGCUCUAUAAUCUUUGUUGAACCGCCUUGUCCAUGUUUCCGGGCCCGGGUGAAGCUACAACGGGCAGACAGACAGAGGCAGAGAUCCCAUAGCGAGCUAAAGGAUCUUUGGCCAGAGCUGGCUGGACAUCCAUCCCUGCAGCAGGUAAUGUCGGCGCAUGGUGGCCAUGGCACGAGGACUGGUCACCGCCAAUGACGGAGGAGGGGAAGGAAGAGGAG